UGUAGCUCAGUGAAAGAGCACAUGCUUAGCAUGCACAAGGCCCUGGGUUCAAUCCCCAGCA
rnacentral:tRNA from 1 species